rnacentral:lncRNA from 1 species
CUUAGGCUGCCUGUCCACCCAUUCUUUAGGUUGGUGCUUAAGUCUUACGGGCUAGCCCCGAUGCAACUCAAUCUAAACUCCUGGAGCCAGACGGUGGGCUCCUGGAUGUUGUGAAAAGAGGCGUCGUUAGGAGUGGAGAUGCCCCUUUUCGUUUUCCAGACCCUCUAUAUACCCAAGGUUACUGCCGGGGGGGGGUAUAAGACCCGGGGUUGGUACUACUUGACGUCAUGGGGUUCCCACACUCCAUUCGUGAUCGAUCUACCGAGCUUCAUCAAGGAAUGGAAGAGCUCAUGGUGUUGGGUAGCGGGGCGAUAGGACACAAUGGAGGGGGACCCCCUGGCGCCUCUUAUAGUCCCGGCGAAGUUUUCAACACUUAGUGAGUAUAGUAGUUGCUCCUUUUGUUUUCUCUUCGGCUCGGCUUGUGUUUAACAGUUAUGUUUCCUUUCGUAGGUUCCCUUCCUCAGUGUGAGCUAUCAACAGAGGACUUCGACACUAUCUGUGUCAUUUAUCAGCUGCCUCAGAAAAAGAGGUCCUACCACAGGCUGAUCCGGAAGAACAUCCAUUUCAUCACUCACGACUUAAUGGCGUCCCAAG